rnacentral:rRNA from 2 species
UAAUUCUAGAGCUAAUAUUUCAUGAAAAUGCCGUGACUUCGGAAGCGGCGGAUUUAUUAGAUCAAAAUCAACCUGCCGCAAGGUGGUGAAAUUGAUGAAUCUGGAUAACUUUACUGAUCGUACGACCUCUGUGUUGACGACAUAUCUCUUGAAAAGGCUGACCUAUCAACUUUCGAUGGUAAGAUCAAAGCUUACCAUGGUUGUAACGGGUAACGGGGAAUCAGUGUUCGAUUCCGGAGAGGGAGCCUGAGAAACGGCUACCACAUCUACGGAAGGCAGCAGGCGCGUAAAUUACCCAAUACCGGCUCGGUGAGGUAGUGACAAAAAAUAACAAUAUGGGCCCUAGUGGUUUCAUAAUUGCAAUGAGAACAUUUUAAAUACUUUAUCAAGUAUCAAUUGGAGUAUAUGGGGUGUGCUCUUUAAUGGGUGCGCCUUUCAUAACCGACAAGUUUACUUUGAAAAAAUUAGAGUGCUUAAAGCAGGCUUAUGCUUGUAUAUUGUUGCAUGGAAUAAUGAAAUAGGACUUCGGUUUUAUUUUGUUGGUUUUCGGAACUGAAGUAAUGAUUAAAAGAGACUGCCGGGGACAUAUGUAUGCUGGCGUGAGAGGUGAAAUUCUAAGAUCGCCAGCAGACAAACUACUGCGAAAGCAUUUGUCAAGAAUGUUUUCAUUAAUCAAGAACGAAAGUCAGAGGAUCGAAGACGAUCAGAUACCGUCCUAGUUCUGACCAUAAACUAUGCCAACUGACAGUUAGUGAAGGUGGAUUAGUCGUCCUCACUAGAAGUCACCGGGAAACCUAAGUCUAUGGGUUCCGGGGGAAGUAUGGUUGCAAAGCUGAAACUUAAAGGAAUUGACGGAAGGGCACCACCAGGAGUGGAGCCUGCGGCUUAAUUUGACUCAACACGGGAAAUCUCACCCGGUCCGGACACUGUGAGGAUUGACAGAUUGAUAGCUCUUUCUUGAUUCGGUGGGUGGUGGUGCAUGGCCGUUCUUAGUUGGUGGAGCGAUUUGUCUGGUUAAUUCCGAUAACGAACGAGACUCUGGCCUACUAAAUAGUACGCUUGUGUUUAAUCGCAAGUGCCUUACUUCUUAGAGGAAUAAGUAGCUUUUAGCUAAAUGAAAUAGAGCAAUAACAGGUCUGUGAUGCCCUUAGAUGUCCGGGGCCGCACGCGCGCUACAAUGGCAGUAUCAACGAGUUUACUACUUCCUAGCUAGAAAUGGCCGGGUAAUCUUGUGAAACACUGUCGUGUCAGGAAUAGUGGUUUGAAAUUUUUCCACUUGAACGAGGAAUUCCUAGUAAGCGCAAGUCACUAGCUUGCGCUGAUUACGUCCCUGCCCUUUGUACACACCGCCCGUCGCUACU